rnacentral:rRNA from 1 species
GGAAAGGCUUACAGUGGAUACCUAGGCACUUAGAGACGAGGAAGAGCGUAAGAAACGACAAAAUGCUUCGAGGAGUUGAAAAUAAGAGUAGAUCUGGAGAUUCCUAAAUAGGUCAACCUUUCGAACUGCUGCUGAAUCCAUGGGCAGCCAAGAGACAACCUGGUGAGCUGAAACAUCUUAGUAACCAGAGGAAAAGAAAGCAAAAGCGAUUCUUGUAGUAGUGGCGAGAGAAAUGGGAGCAGCCUAAACCGUGAAAAUGGGGUUGUGGGAGAGAAAUACAAGCAUCGUACUGCUAGGCGAAGCGGUGGAGUGCUACGCCCUAGAUGGAGAGAGUCCAGUAGUCAAAAGUAUCACUAUCUUACGCCCUAACCCAAGUAGCAUGGGACAAGUGGAAUCUCAUGUGAAUCAGCAAGGACCACCUUGCAAGGCUAAAUAUCCUGGGUGACUGAUAGUGACGUAGUAUUGUGAGGGAAAGGUGAAAAGAACCCCCAUCGAGGAGUGAAAUAGAACAUCAAACUGUAAGUUCCCAAGCAGUGAGGGGGACCAAGGCUUUGACCAUAUGCAAGUUGAAGAACGAGCCGGCGACUUUUAGGCAGUGGCUUGGUUAAGGGAACCCACCAAAGCCAUAGCAAAAACGAGUCUUCAUAGGGCAAUUGUCAUUUCUUAUGGACUCCAACCUGGGUGAUCUAUCCGUGACCAGGAUGAAGCUUAGGCGAAACUAAGUGGAGGUCCGAACCGACUGAUGUUGAAAAAUCAACGGAUGAGUUAUGGUUAGGAGUGAAAUGCCACUCAAACCCAGAGCUAGCUGGUUCUCCCUGAAAUGCAUUAAGGCAUAGCAGUUGAGUGGACAUCUAAGGGUAAAGCACUGUUUUGGUGCGGGCCAUGAGAGUAGUACCAAAUCGAGGAAAACUCUGAAUACUAGAUGUGACCUCAAAAUAACAGGGGUCAAGGUCAGCUAUUGAGACGAUGGGGGGUAAGCUUCAUCGUCGAGAGGGAAACAACUCGGAUCACUAGCUAAGGCCCUUAUAUGACCACUCAGUGAUAAAGGAGGUAGGGGUGCAGAUACAGCCAGGAGGUUUUCCUAGAAGCAGCAACCCUUAAAAGAGUGCAUAAUAGCUUAUUGAUCGAGAACUCUUGCAUCAACGAUGAACGGGGAUAAGCGAUCUGCCGAAGCUGUGGGAUGUAAAAAUGUAUCGGUAGGGGAGUGUUCCACCUAAAGGGAAGCACCCGCAUGAGCAGUGGUAGAUGAAGCGGAAGCGAGAAUGUCAGUUUGAGUAACGCAAACAUUGGUAAGAAUCCAAUGCCCCAAAAACCUAGAGGUUCCUCCGUAAUGUUUAUCCACGAAGGGUGAGUUAGGGCCUAAGAUCAGGCCAAAAGGUGUAGUCAAUGGACAAUAGGUGAAUAUUCCUGUACUACCCCUUGUUGGUCCCGAGGGACGGAGGAGGCUAGGUUAGCUGAAAGAUGGUUAUCGAUUCAAGGACGUAAGGUGCCCCUGCUUUUUCAAGGUAAGAAGGGGUAGAGAAAAUGCCCCUUCGAGUACCAGCCGCCAUGGGGCUGAAGUAACCCAUACCAUACUCCCUGAAAAAGCUUGAACGACCUCAAACAAAAGGGUACCUGUACCCGAAACUGACACAGAUGGGUAGGUAGAGAAUACCUAGGGGCGCGGGACAACUCUUUCUAUGGAACUUGGCAAAAUAGCCAUGUAACUUCUAGAGAAAGGGUGCCUUCUCUCAAAGGGGGUCGUAGUGACUAGGCUCGGGUGACUAUUUACCAAAAAUAUAGGUCUUCGCAAAGUCGUAAGACCAUGUAUAAGGGCUGAUGCCUGCCCAGUGCUUGAUGGUCAAGGAAGUUGGUGACCUGAUGACAGGGGAGCUGGCUACUGAAGCCCCGGCGAACAGCGGCCGUAACUAUAACGGUCCUAAAGUAGCGAAAUUCCUUGUUAGGUAAGUUUCGACCCGCAUGAAAGGCGUAAUAAUUUGGGCAUUGUCUUGGAGAGAGACUCGGUGAAAUAGACAUGUUUGUGAAGAUGCGGAGUACCUGUACCUGGACAGAAAGACCCUAUGAAGCUUCACUAUUCCCUGGGAUUGUCUUUGGGCCUUUCCUGCACAGCUUAGGUGGAGGGCAAAGAAGGCCUCCUUCCAGCGGGGCCCAAGCCAUCAGUGAGAUACCACUAUGGAAGAUCUAGAAUUCUAACCUUGUGUCAAAACCUACAGGCCAAGGGACAGUCUCAGGUAGACAGUUUCUAUGGGGCGUAGGCCUCCCAAAAGGUAACGGAGGCAUGCAAAGGUUUCCUUAGGCCAGAUGGAGAUUGGCCUUCGAGUGCAAAGGCAGAAGGGAGCUUGACUACAAGACCCACCCAUCGACCAGGGACAAAAGUCGGCCUUGCUGAGUGGAAGGGCUUUCGCUCAACGGAUAAAAGUUACUCUAGGGAUAACAGGCUGAUCUUCCCCAAGAGCUCACAUCAACGGGAAGGUUUGGCACCUCGAUGUCAGCUCUUCGCCACUUGGGGUUGUAGAAAGUUCCAAGGGUUGGGCUGUUAGCCCAUUAAAGCGGUACGUGACCUGGGUUCAAAACAUCAUGAGAUAGUUCGGUCCAUAUCUGGUGUGGGAGUUAGAGCAUUGAGAGGACCUUUUCCUAGAGGAUCGGGAAGGAUGCACCUUUAAUGUACUAGUUAUCGUGCCCAUGGUAAAUGCUGGGAAGCCAAGUGCGAAGCAGAUAAUUGCUGAAAGCAUUUAAGUAGUAAGGGCACCCCAAGAUUAGUGCUCUUCUAUUCUGACUUCCCCAGAGCUUUCGGUAGCAUAGCCAAGAUAGCGAUGGGUUUUCUACCCCUACGGGGGUGGAGCGAUAGAAGUUUUUAGAAUUUAAGAGGAAUUCAUGGCGAGAUGAGCCAUUUAUCAUUACGAUAGGUGUUAAGUGGAAGUGCAGUGAUGUAUGCAGCUGAGGCAUCCUAACAGACUGGUAGACUUGAAC